AACGGGUGCAGAGGGGAGUGGUUGUUUACUGGUUUCCCAAGGGGGGUCAAUUUCUGUGUGAGGGAGGGGGGUAACCUCUUUUCUUGCUCAGGAUUGGCUUCUCUAAGGUUAGCCUUAUACCCUUCUUCUAAAGACUUGGUAUACUCUUAAUCGGGCGUACCUAGGAUUUAGGACUUUUACUUUGAAAAAAUUAGAGUGUUCAAAGCAGGCAACUUUUUUGCUUGAAUACAUUAGCAUGGAAUAAUAAAAUAGGACUUUUGGUCUUAUUUUGUUGGUUUCUAAGACCGAAGUAAUGAUUAAUAGGGAUAGUUGGGGUGGUUAGUAUUUAAUUGU
rnacentral:rRNA from 1 species